rnacentral:lncRNA from 1 species
GAAAGAAAUCUGGAGAAUUUUUCUUUUAUGAAAAAAAGCAAAAAUAGUGUUCAGCAUUUGUUUUGCAGUGAGCCAUUGUAGAAGCUAAGCAGUCAAGCAUACUGUCAUAUUUUAAGCCUUCCACAUCCUCCCUGGUAGACAAGAAACCUUGACCUUCAACAUCAAGUCAGGCAGACACAGGAGAAGGUGUGGACAUUAGUAAGCUGCCUGCCCUGAUGGAUCCAGAAGAUGAUGAGAUGUUAAUAGAUGAAACCCAUCUCUUUCUACGUCCCAGUCUCCUGGACCUCCCACCGCCCCAACCUCCAAGGACUCAGCCUAACACCCCAUCAUCACCUCCACCACCUCUCCAGUGUGCUCACUGUUUUACUGAUUCUGAUCUUAUCAAUGAAAGUACAUGCACAGAUUAUUUGCAUAAAUUUGACGGUCGAUUAGGAUUUGAAGAGACUCUACAGUUGAGGCUUCAAAGCUUCACUCCUCGGACUCUUGUCCAGUUUCUACCACUGGGCCUCAUAGUGUUUCCCUCUUUCGUUUUAUAUCUUCUACUUUACUUGGCCACUGAAAUAAAUCAAAUAUGGAU